rnacentral:rRNA from 1 species
UACGUAGGGAGCAAGCGUUGUUCGGAUUUACUGGGCGUAAAGGGCGCGUAGGCGGCAAUUCAAGUCAUCUGUGAAAUCUCCGGGCUUAACUCGGAACGGUCAGAUGAUACUGCUUUGCUAGAGUGCGGAAGGGGCAAUCGGAAUUCUCGGUGUAGCGGUGAAAUGCGUAGAUAUCGAGAGGACCACCUGAGGUGAAGACGGGUUGCUGGGCCGACACUGACGCUGACAGCGCGAAAGCCAGGGGAGCAAACGGG